rnacentral:rRNA from 1 species
UACGAAGGGUGCAAGCGUUAUUCGGAAUCACUGGGCGUAAAGGGUGCGUAGCCGGUUUGUUAAGUUUGUCGUUAAAGACUCUAGCCUAACUGGAGGGUUGCGAUGAAAACUGGCGGACUAGAGGGUGAGAGAGAGAAGUGGAAUUCCUGGAGUAGCGGUAAAAUGCGUGGAUCUCAGGAGGAACACCAAUGGCGAAGGCAGCUUCUUGGCUCAUUCCUGACGUUGAGGCACGAAAGCGUGGGGAGCGAACAGG